rnacentral:snRNA from 1 species
AUCUAUAGAGCAAUCAGGCUGUGACAUCUGUCACUUUUUUGAUUACUGGGGUGGUUCAGCUGACCUGGCUCCUUAGGCUAGUGUCUCCUUCCUCCCUCAUGGUCACAUAUUUGUCUCCACUGAAGCUUUGCAUUCUCUGGAAAGUGGAAGAGAAUGAGUUUGCACAAGGAUGACCUUCCCAGAGAAGAGGAGGAAGAGUGGUCCUAGGUGAAGGGAAUGUGAGUAACUUCACUCCUAUGUUAGAACCUCCAAAUGAGUUCUCAAAUUCCAAACAUGUUUACAAGAUUCAUCUCUUAUUUGAAGCAGAUUUGUUUUC